UGGCAGCCGCCGGCAGCGAGCCAAAAGCCAUCCGUCGGAUCGAUCGGUUGGACGUAUGGGAGAAACCAAGAAGACACACCCACCCACGCCCAGGCCGCCACCGGUUCCCGCUCGCGCCGGCAGUCGGAGUUGGUCGAUCGUCACACGACCGACCGCUGGCCGGGUCGCCGGCCGGAGACGGGGAAGGAGGACUGGACUGUGGACACUGGAGAAGAUGGGUAUGCCGUGCUUGGUGGGCCUUCGGUGACUCCACUUGGGCUGGAUUAAGUCACGCUAGUCUAGUGGGCCUCAUUUGUGUCCUCUUCGGCUCCGGCGACGGCGGCCGCGGCUUCCUCGGUGAUCACCCUGCUGGCUGGCCUUGGAUUGUGACUGUGACGUGGAGAAGCUGCAGGUCACCUCUCCCUCUCCCUCUCUGUCUCUGUCUAUCUAUGGGGAGCAAAAAUCCCAAUAGGUCUGGCCGUCUGGGCGGAUUUCGCUUUGGGGUCCCUGCCAAACCGUGGGCAGUUAAGAGUCGAGUCUUCGGAAACCGAUCGAAUCGAUUGGUCGUACGCGAUCACAGAACACGGCACUACGAUCUAUCGGCACGUGUAUAAUGGUUCAGUUUCGGCACAGUUCAAUUCAACAGCACCUACAAACUGAACAAGGUUCAGCAGUCAGGGAUCAUUGGCGAGUUCAUAGGGGUAAUCUCAAAUGCUCUUGCCAUUUCAACAUCUACGAACUCUGUCAAAUAUUCUGGCAUGUCGGGCACCAUGAAUAAGCUUUCAAAGAUUUCAUCCUGAACGCCAUGGACAUCGGUAUUGACAAACACUGAGCUACUGUUUUGGUUUUGACUGACGAUUGGCAUGCUGUCCUGUGUUGCCCCAACAACAUGUGGAUGAACUAUGCCAUCACUGUUGCAAAUGUGCU